CCCAGCUUAAAUUUCAACAUUUAAAUUAGUUUUUGUCAUGAUAGAGUGGCCCCACAUAUCAGGUUUACAUGAAGCCGCUCAGCGUGGUUGGGUCGGCUAAUAGCUUGUGUGGCUUUGUCAGAUCGGGCGCGAGCAACCCCUGCCCAAUCGGAACUAAGGUUUCAUUUUUUUUUUCUAAUUUCGGUGGGUGCUGAAAUUUCUUUUAACAAAAUAUUUGAAGAUUUAAAUCCUAAAAAUGAAGUUUGGUCAAAAAUUCUAAACACAAUAAUUUUGGGAACGAUUCAAAAUCUCGGCGACUUUUAAAAUUCUAGGGUUGCCAAAAUGUAAACCCUAGCUGGAAGCGUAUUUAGGAGAUACGGGAGGCGCCAUGCAUGUAGGCCUGAGAUUUGUAGCCACUCUCUUAAGAUGGCUGAAAAAUUUAAAAAGGGAAAAAUUGUGUCAAAAAUUUCUUAAAUGGGAUAAACAGAAGAAUUUUUUAUGGGGUAAAAUGUGUCACAGACCUUCUUGUAGGGGGUAAAUUUAUUUUUAACUAAAUUUACCCUAAAUUAAUUAAAUAAAUGUGAAGAAAAAGUGAAAUUUAGUACAUGGGAAUUUUUUUUAUCCUACUCUUAGUUAAGAGGAUGGAUGCUCAAGCCUUUUUUUCACUUCUCUAUCUUUCACAUUAACAAUUAUCCUAUGUGACAUCGUCAAGAGAAGGCUAACAUCACUCCAUCAUACAUGCACUUGUAGAAACAUGGGUACUAGGUGUGCACCUGAGGAUCCAAAGCUUUGCAUGGCUUGCUUGCAGCGCAGUUUUGGGAUCGGAUCUCAGAUUACUAGGAGUCUAAGAGGAGGAUGUCGACAGUUAGAAAGAAUGGUUCACGUCUCGAGCACUGUUGCCACCGGACUUUGUUUUCCCAUGAAAAUUAGGUUGGUUCUUGCUCAGCUGCCAUGGUAUCUGUCUCAAAUGCCUAAGCCACACAUGGCUUGUUUGACGAGACAAGCAUAGUCUCAACCUCGGACAAGGCGGGGAACCACGAAGAACAUCCACAGCUGGCAACUAUUAGACGAGUAGAUAUAUUUUUUACGGUACCCCGAUGCUCCGAACAAAUUUACCAAACAAAUCUAGCCAUCAGAUCGAAGGGUAAACUAGACAUUUGUCAAAGGGUAUUACGAUUCGGUUAUCCCGGUAAGGCAAUACCUGAUUGGACGCUAGUUACAGCCGAAGAAAGGGAAAAUAAAAUGCAUCGAUUUGGGCCGGCCUCGUCAAAGAACUGCAGCGACCGAAUCGAUUCCAGCGGUGGAGGACGUGGAGGAGAGGACGCCGGAGGCUGGAGUGUAGCUCUUUUAGCUGGACGAGAACGGAUGCGGAGUGGAAGCUAGAAAGAAUAGCUAUUACCUAGAUCGAUUCAUCGUAUCAUGUCUCCAUCUAGCUCCGGCAGAAGAAAGAAGAAUUAAUUAGCUAGAUCGAUUCAUGGCGUCGUCUCUCCGUCUAGCAUUUUAGCUCCGGCAGGAGAGAGCGCCCUUGGUUGAUUAACUAGAGAUCGAUCAUGGUGUCAUCUCCCGGCAGCGCCGUCGCCAAGCCCCUGCAGGCCGCGGCUCAAUCCCGAUGGUUCAACGAAGAACACCGGCCGCUCCUCUGCUUCUACCGCUGUCAGCUGGAAGAAGCUAAUGUGGCCGGCUCCCAAGAGGAACCUGUUCCAGCGCAUGGCGGCGGCGGCGGACGCGGUAGAGCGGCGACUUGUUGCGUCGAACGACGGCAGCGACGUUCCUGUCGGGCGGGCUGCUGCUGCUCCGUCGCCUCGUCCGGUUCGCCGCUACAGCCGCGGCUUCGUCAGCUCCGGCCGCACGGCUGGAAUGGAAAUAGGAAAUUUUUGUUUUUAGAUCUUUUACGAUUUUGCCCUCCGAAUACAGGUACUUCGGUUGUUUGCGAGUCCGUAGAAUAGAAGAUGGAGUACAAAGUAAUAUUGGUCAUUAGAUCAGGAUAAAUAAACGGUUAUAUUAAACCCGGGGUAUCGUAAAAGAGCUCGUAGAAUAGGUUUUUCUAAAGGAUGGAAUGGGGAGCGAACGUUCGCUCCCUAGCCUUCUGACGCGAUGGGUAAAGUUGACAUCCUCACAAACUAAAGUUGCCAUCACCACGGAACUAAAGUUGCCAUAUCAUAAAACUAAACGUUCGUUAGUCUUCUAGCGCGACGGGACAAAGUUGCCACCCGUAUAGAACUAAAGUUCCUACUCUACAUAACUAAAAGUUGCCAUCCCACGAACCUAAAGUUGUCACCCACAAAGACACGUGGCAUGAUCCCAGCUAUAAUCUUUCCGAUCGAAUGGUCAAUUAAUAGAGCGUUCGCUCUGAGAGACUAAAGAGCGAACGUUCGUUCAUUAUAAAUCCCGUUUUUUAAGGGUUGUUUUCGUUCAUUCUUUGGGUGUGGUUUUGAUGGAACUUUAGUCGGAGAUCACGGUGAGAUGGUGGUAAUUAGUUGCUUGGUGUCUGGAGGUCAAGGUGCGCAGAUGCAGAGCCUCUUGCGUGUUUGCACGGCUUGAUGGGGUGUUUUAGUGUAAUGUUGAGCAUGAAUGCAGCUUAUGGCAGAUCGUCCUAGUGUGCACUUCAACACGUUUUAGCUAGAGUGUGUUACCUUAUUUCGGUAAUUAAGCUCUCUCUUUAGCUUAAAAGAAAGAGAAAAUCCAAGGUGACGUUAAAAAGAACUGGUGAACUGACGUUGGGCCCUCGCUAGUCUUCUUGGUGAUAACUUCGGAGGCAAGACAUAUAUACAGCCCCAUAGCCUCCGUAGCUUUUUCUUCAAGUGGGGUGAAAGACCGAACAAAAGGGCAAAGGUCUACCUGAUCGGAUAACAGAGUGAAGAUUCUAAAAUGGCACUAUCUCAUGGUCCAAUCCGGCAGGAGAAAGCAAAUUGUUCAGACAAACAUGGAAGGAAAAUAACUGUAAGAAAGGACUAUUUUCGUAGGGAAAGGCAGCUGUGAGAAAGACAGAGUGCAUAUCCCUCCUUGGCCCCCGAACAAAAGAUUGCCAUUGGGCGCUUCGUAGCUAAGGUUUGGACAGUGAAAAAAAAAGGUAGUUCAUGGACAUCAUUGCCGGCUUGUGGGCGUAGUCAAGGCUCCAGCCUGACUGAUUCAGACAUGUACAUGUAUUUCUUUCUUGUUCGGAUACUUCUGAAUAUGACUCGUGGAUCAAAAUGGCCAUAGAAGACUGUUUCCUACUGACGAUUGAAAGAUUAAAUUUGCAAAUUAGAUGAUCGUCGGGUCAGCGAUCGAUAUUGUUACCGAUUUUCUGUAUGUAUUUUAGACAUGAUACCAAAUGUUUCUUCUCAUGUUUUCCUAACAAGGCUGGACUUAUUUAUUUGUUACAACAGUGCUGUGACCUGAUUAAUUUUAUUUGGCAGCAGAGAAUUGAAUUCAGUCCUUCUCAGUCAGAUAUGUUCGGACUGUACAGAUUGUUACCUGUGUAAAAUGCUACUCCUCCUACUUGAUAUGGCAUGAACACGACACUCUCAAUGUAGGAAUUCUUCAGACAUCAACUCCUUGCAGGGCAAGUUGAAGCUGCCAGUGCAAACAAGCUCACACAGUGAACAGGAAAAGGGAGAUCCUAAUCUCCACCAGCACGGCAUGGUUUGGAAUUAAACAUAUUGAAUGACAGCUUUGUAUGCCAUCGGAAAGGACAUUGUUCAGCUGUAUGGUAGUGGAGUAGUAGUACAAUACCAUUUCAAUAUAGUAGUAUUAUCUUUAUCUUUUCUAGAAAAGAAUGGAUAUGAGAAACUUCGUCACAGCACCAUUGCCACCAAACCAUUUUCUUUUCCCAACUUGUUCAUGAAUUCCA